AAUAGAUACCCCGGUAGUCCACGCCGUAAACGAUGUCGACUUGGAGGUUGUUCCCUUGAGGAGUGGCUUCCGGAGCUAACGCGUUAAGUCGACCGCCUGGGGAGUACGGCCGCAAGGUUAAAACUCAAAUGAAUUGACGGGGGCCCGCACAAGCGGUGGAGCAUGUGGUUUAAUUCGAUGCAACGCGAAGAACCUUACCUACUCUUGACAUCCAGAGAACUUAGCAGAGAUGCUUUGGUGCCUUCGGGAACUCUGAGACAGGUGCUGCAUGGCUGUCGUCAGCUCGUGUUGUGAAAUGUUGGGUUAAGUCCCGCAACGAGCGCAACCCUUAUCCUUUGUUGCCAGCGGUUAGGCCGGGAACUCAAAGGAGACUGCCAGUGAUAAACUGGAGGAAGGUGGGGAUGACGUCAAGUCAUCAUGGCCCUUACGAGUAGGGCUACACACGUGCUACAAUGGCGCAUACAAAGAGAAGCGACCUCGCGAGAGCAAGCGGACCUCAUAAAGUGCGUCGUAGUCCGGAUUGGAGUCUGCAAC
rnacentral:rRNA from 1 species